AUGAAGUCGGAAUCGCUAGUAAUCGCGGAUCAGCAUGCCGCGGUGAAUACGUUCCCGGGCCUUGUACACACCGCCCGUCACACCAUGAGAGUUUGUAACACCCAAAGCCGGUGGGGUAACCUUUUGGAGCCAGCCGUCUAAGGUGGGACAGAUGAUUGGGGUGAAGUCGUAACAAGGUACC
rnacentral:rRNA from 1 species